rfam:Branchiostoma floridae genomic scaffold BRAFLscaffold_113, whole genome shotgun sequence.
AGCAGCGUGGCGCAGUGGAAGCGUACUGGGUCGGUGACCCGGAGGUCGGUGGAUCAAAACCACCCGCUGCUC